CUAUAAAACAUACCAUAUUUUAAAUAUAGAAAGAAAUGAAAAGAGAAAACCAAUUAAAAUAUAAGAAAACUUUAGUAAGAAAAUCUACUCAAAUUAAAAAAGAUACAAACAAAAGUAUUAUAUAUAGAGUUUGAUUUAUUGAAAAUUAUAUAACAAUCAUAAUUAUAAGAUAAAAAUAAGAGAGAAAAGGGUAGAACAAGCUUGUUAAGAUAUAAGAAUGGCAAAAUGGAGUGCAAUAGUUUUAAUAAUGAUGGUGGUGAUUGCUGUUGCGGUUACAGUAGAAGCAAAUAAAAAAAAAGAAUGUUUUCACAAAUGUUCUAAACCUUGUAAGCCUCACCACGGUAAUUGUUUUAAACAUUGUAAAGCUAAAUGUGGUGAGACAAACCCUCAUCAUGGUCCAGGAGGACAUCAUCAUGGUCGAGGAGGACCCCCUCCUCCCCCUAGACAGAACUUUACAUGAAAUGGGACACGUGGAAGUUCGUGGAAGAAAAAAGUAAUUAAAAGAAGUUAUAUAGAAAGUUUGUGAUAAUUUCUAUAGUUUUAAUUUCUUGUUAAAAUCGAAUAAAAAUAUUGAUAAUAUAAUUAUUUCUAAUUUCUUAUGCGGGUUAUAUAAGUCCCAGAAAGUAAAGAAAACUACUGAAUGACAAAAAAGAAGGAAAAAUAAUAUAUUACAAAA